UAUAAAUAUAGAAAUGUGUCAAUAUUUUUCGGAUAAACUAAUAAGAAAAGUAAGACAAUUUGUUUUGGGACGGAAGGAGUAAUAACUAAAGCUCAUAAAUAAUCUUUACAUAAAAUAAUACAUAUAUUCCAUCAUAACUAAUCUUUACAUUAUUAAUACAUGCAUAACCCUGACCACCUACCGAACAACCCCGAGUGUAUAAAAUAUUGAGAAAAUUACACUUUAUGAUAAUUGAAGCAACAAUGCUAUCAAAAUUGACCUACUUUUUAAAUUCUUACAAAAAUGAUCCAAACUUUUCUCUUUCUGCUCUCUCUCUUUGCCUCUAUAUAUGUUUAUAUAUGUUGAUAUAAAUGUCUGUAUAUGUCUAUAAAUAUUUAUAUAUUUUAGAUUAUUUUUUAUAAUGUAAAUUUUGAGCUUUCUUUUUUAAUGUAAAUGAUCAACUUAUAUAUUUGUGAAAUUUUCCCUAAAAUUAAAGGCCAGAUACUCAUAUAAAACGACAAAAAAUAAAGGGUUGCCAUAAUGGUAUCCAGCUAUUUAAGCCAUAAAAUUAGGAUUAAAAAAUCACCGGCCACGGCUUACUAGAUUGCUGUUUCCGUGUACGCAAUGCAGCAUCUUCCAUUCCCUUUCAUUCAUUUUCAUUUCACUUCCCCUGGGAGAACUUAAAACCAUUUUUCAAUUUUCAUUCCACCGACACCAUAAAGUUCUGUUAUUCCCUUUACCUCUCCAUAUCCGAGAGAGGGGAAAAUACGUCGAGGAAAUAGAAAAGAAUAUGCAGAGGAUACGAGAUCAACGGUCAAGAUCAUCAAGAAACAUAACAAUUCAUGGGUUAGCACAAUCUGGUGAUGUUGUUGCAUUCAAAAAGUUGCUUGAUGAGAACCCUUCUCUUCUCAAUGAACGCAACCCUGUUAAGCAGCACAACAAGCAACCAUGCGAGCCAUCUCGUUAUGGUUAUAAUCAUUACCUAGCCGACGAUCAACAAGGGCAUCAAACUUUUCAUCUUCUAAAGCUUGUGUGAGCAAUGGCCGUGCCUGAAACAAACAGAAUAUAAAUCAAAACUGUAGAACUAGCGGAGGGAAAUUAAAGACGGGCCCACACGUCUGCAUAAUUACUACUCACCCAGUCCACCAAACUAUUUUCUAUGUAUGACUGAUUGGAAUCAACAGGCCGACAUCCAGUUAUCAACUCGAGAAGCAUUACACCAAAGGAGAAUACAUCUGAUUUAUCCGUAAGUUUUCCUGAAGACGCAUAUUCUGGAGCCAAAUACCUAGGAUUGGCAAUAACGAAGAAACACGUCAAGUCUACCUGAUGAUCAAAUGGAAAAGAAGCAGCAAACCAAAAUAAUAGCAAGCAAAUGUAUAUUUUUGUAUAUUAAUUGUUAUAUACAAAUAAUAUACAUAUCUCAUACAUAAUUAUAUGUA